GUAAUUGUUAAUUAAUUUUCUACGUAGGGCUUAAAAUUCAAAGGUUAAGUCAUAAAAAGUGCCCGUGAGGAAACGGAUUUUUUUAACCACGUAUUCCUGAGGUCAUAAGAAGAAUUUCAUGUACAAGUUUAAGUCAAUUCCGCAAAAAAAAAAUGUUUUUUUUUUUACUUUUUGUAUCUUUUUAAACAUAUUAAGUUCAUGUUCUUGGAAAAUUUAUGGAUUAAUAUAAAUUGGUACAUUUUUUUUCGUAAAAAUUAGUCUAUUCAAAUGGUACCUUGUGACUUUGAUAUCUGUCAAGAAGGUAGUCUAGACUAGGUCCCAAAGUGGCGACUGGCGACAUAGCCAUCAAAAAGGCGUUAUGCACUAAAAUACAACGAAAAAAAUUUUUUUUUAUUGGUAUUAACUCUGAAACUAGGCGAAUUAAAAAAGUUUAUAUGACAUUUUUGCCUCUAAAUACGAUCCGGAAUAUACUGUUAAAAUCUUUCCGUUUCCUCGAGGGUACCGUGUAUUUACAAAAUAACCUCUUUAAAAAUCAAGACAGAACUCGACCUAGGCGUUCGAUCCCGGAUGAACGGUCCUUAGCAACCAAGCGUUAACAAGCGUGUGUAUGUAUGUUUUCCUUGUCUAACUUGCUAGCUACUUUUGGGCGCUAGAAGAGCGUAAAUAUACUUCAAAGCCUUUAAUUUUGCCACUAAAUAUGGCAACACCUCACUAACCACCCUCUGUUGGCCGACAGCUUUCUGGCUAUCGCAUCGACCCGUGAGUGGUGGGCCACCACUUGAAGGGAUAAAUAACAUAGUUAACGAUAAAAUAAUUUUGUUCAUCGGAAAGUUUUGUAUGUUAAUUAACUUUACGGAACAGGUCUUAACUGUACUUCUUUCCAAAGGAAAAUAAUACUCAUUGAGACAAUUCUAACAACCUCAAACGCAAUUUGGUUGCGAUAUUUUGAACCAGAGUUCCUAUGGCCACCUCCUCUCUCAUGCAUCAGAUCAGCUCGAUGGUACCAUAAUAUUUCAUUGUCACCCUACUUACAUAUGUAUGCAGAUUUUCAACUUCAUCUGAAACCUCAGUGGGUCAAAUAUACUUGUAAUAUUUGAUUACAGACAGAGUAGACAGACAACAGACUGAUUCUUUAUUAGACAUUAAUUAAAGUCAGUCAAUUAUACUCAUUACUAUAUAACUUCGAAGUAGUAGUAGCAGUAUAAGUGCAUUUUUGCCAUUAUAAACUUUAAAUAAUAAAUAAUAAUAGCAGUUUUCUCGACUUUUGCAUUUAAAAUUUAUAAUCGUCUUCAUUGUCGUCAAUUCAAAAAAUAAUAUAGAAAUAGUCGUUACAGUUAGAGUCAUGGUUCUUUUCUGAGAAGAUAGCAUAAUUUAUCUACUUUUUGGAGCUACAUAUGCUUGUGCAUACCUUAUGCUUAUGUUUUCAGUUAUCUCAAUACCAGCAAAAACAUGCUACCUUUUUACGUUCACUUCCACAAAUUACUUAGCUUUGCUAGUAUUCUUCCUUUUUUCACUACUUGCCCGAAAUUAACUUCUAUUGCAUUUUUAAGGUCAACUAAGUUUUGAAUAGGUAUCUAUAUAUGAUUUAAAGCAGACAGUUGUAACUUUUGUCUGAAUUAGUAAGUAAUAUUAUUUCGACACAAAACGAUUUGGUAUCAUUUUACUAUUUAUUUGCCGCGGUAUACUCUAGUAUUAUAUAUAAUUAUCAAGUUUUUAAUUUCAUUAAGUUUAAAUCAUAAUCAAUAUAAAUUUCCGGAAAAGAUCCCAGAACUAACAAACCAGAAUACGGAUGGCGUCAGAAUAAGGACGUAGGCUUGCUGCGAGCGCGGCGCGCGGGGCGCCCGCCUGCCUGCUUUACCACUUCGUCUGCUUCACCCCCACAAAAACCUAAAAUCUGUCUAUAAGAGCGCCUUAAAAUCUUCCUUAAC